ACGUUUAUUUUCAAAAUUUAAACGUUGUAAUCACAACGUUUAAAUUUUGAAAUACAACGUUUAAAUUUUGAAACUAAACGU